UUUUUAGGGGUGCGCGCGGUCAGAGCAUCGCGAGCUGAGAUUACACCCUUCGAACCUGAACCGGUUAGUACCGGCGUAGAGAAAAA
rnacentral:ncRNA from 1 species